AGAAUCAACGCUGGCGGCGUGCCUAACACAUGCAAGUCGAACGAGAAAGUGGAGCAAUCCAUGAGUAAAGUGGCGCACGGGUGAGUAACACGUGACUAACCUACCCUUGAGUGGGGGAUAACCUAGGGAAACCUGGGCUAAUACCGCAUAAUACCUUCGGGUCAAAGGAGCAAUUCGCUUAAGGAGGGGGUCGCGGCCGAUUAGUUAGUUGGCGGGGUAAUGGCCCACCAAGACUGUGAUCGGUAUCCGGCCUGAGAGGGCGCACGGACACACUGGAACUGAAACACGGUCCAGACUCCUACGGGAGGCAGCAGUGGGGAAUUUUGCGCAAUGGGGGAAACCCUGACGCAGCAACGCCGCGUGGAGGAUGAAGUCCCUUGGGACGUAAACUCCUUUCGAUCGGGACGAUUAUGACGGUACCGAUAUAAGAAGCCCCGGCUAACUUCGUGCCAGCAGCCGC
rnacentral:rRNA from 1 species